UACGGAAGAUGCGAGCGUUAUCCGGAUUUAUUGGGUUUAAAGGGAGCGUAGGCGGGCUUUUAAGUCAGCGGUCAAAUGUCACGGCUCAACCGUGGCCAGCCGUUGAAACUGCAAGCCUUGAGUCUGCACAGGGCACAUGGAAUUCGUGGUGUAGCGGUGAAAUGCUUAGAUAUCACGAAGAACUCCGAUCGCGAAGGCAUUGUGCCGGGGCAGCACUGACGCUGAGGCUCGAAAGUGCGGGUAUCAAA
rnacentral:rRNA from 1 species